rnacentral:rRNA from 1 species
AUGUCCGUGAGCUCGGCGAUGUCAUCUCUCGGCGGCCGGGCUGUGGAGGUCCCUCUCAUCCGAUGCCCUCAUUGCCGCACGCGGGUGAAGUUCUACCUGUCGAACACAGACACGCAUGAGGGUUGGUUGUUCUACAAGUGCAUCAAUGGUCCUUGUGGUUUCUGGCACUGGGAGUUGGAGUAUAUUGUGUAUCUUGUUGAGCAUCGUUUCCUCAAUGGGAAUGAAGCAGUGGAUGCAAUUGGCGCUGCAGAGGAUAGGAGAGAACAACUCCUUCGAGAAAGGGAAGAAAGGGCUAGGCUUGCAGGCAUUGCAGCUGGGAUAUAUGACAGGAGGCCUUCAGGCAGUCCCAUGACCAAGCAGCAGGCAGAUGCUCUUUUAUGUUUAGGUAGAGAGAUGCUUCUGGUUUUGAAGGCAAUGAUGGGAUCAUUCUUAUUGCUGUGUGUCAUGUUUGGUAUCUCCCUUCUGAAGAAAUGA